UACAGAGGUCUCAACCGUUGUUCGGAUUCAUUGGGCGUAAAGGGUGCGUAGGCGGUCGCGCAAGUCGGAUGUGAAAUCUCAGGGCUCAACCCUGAAACUGCAUUCGAUACUGCGUGGCUAGAGUGCUGGAGAAGGAGACUGGAAUUUACGGUGUAGCAGUGAAAUGCGUAGAUAUCGUAAGGAAGACCAGUGGCGAAGGCGAGUCUCUGGACAGCAACUGACGCUGAGGCGCGAAAGCGUGGGGAGCAAACAGG
rnacentral:rRNA from 1 species